UAAUAAUUUUUUUUGGAUAUUAAAGAUUUUUUUUUUAUUACUUGUUAUCAAACAUCUUGAACAUAGAAUGUAGAUUUUAGUUUUUGAUGUAUGUUGGGAAGUGAACAAAUUUUUUUGUCCUGUAUUUGUAUUUGUAGACCUCAAAGUAGAAUAUUCUAGAAAUAACAGGAUCUUAUUAAAUAUUUAUGAAAUGAAUGUGCUUAUACUUGUGGUAUUAAACCUUUAUUUCUGACCAUUUAUAUUUCCCUGAUGUUUCUUUCUAUGACUAUAUGGUAUAAUAUUGGGCUAUUGUGACUAAAUAGUAUAAUGAAUACAUUUAUUUGAAAAACGUGUUAUAUUAGGGUAUGAUAUUUGUUAACAGUUCUUCUGUAGUGUUUCUGUAGAAGGAGGUUCUUAUAAUUCAUUACAAUUAAAAUUAUAUUGUUUUCAUGAUUUCUUAUUGCCUGUCUUAGUUAAGCUAUGUAAUUAUAAUAAUGCAUUGACUAAGCAGUAUUCUGGGAUGGAAUCUUUAUAAUGUGGUUCACUGUAUUAAAACACAUAUUUAUAAACCAUGAAAAACCAGAGAUAGUCCCAUUAGAGUACUGCGUGCUUGUAUAGUUCUGGUAUUGCUGCUAAUACUUGUCUAGGUAUUUUUGAAGGUGGUCAAAACAUGCCUGUUAGGCAUAACUAUAAGAUAGCUGUUUUUGUCUUUAAUAUUUCUAGUGGUCCCUUUCUGUACUCUUUCUCUCCUUCCCUCCUUUAGGCAUCUACUUUUAUUUAGAAAACUAUCUGAUAAUCAGUCACUUACAUAUGCUGGCUGUUAAAGGAAUCAUUUGUCAGUAAACCGAUAAGAAAGGAAUGUUGGUUCUGGAUGCUUGAAUCUUUGAAUGUAGUAAACUCGAAGCAAACUUGAUUUAAUCUUGUUUGGAUAAUAGGCCAGAAGAAUUAUAUUAGGAUAACAAGCUAGAGAGAGGUUUGACUUUUUUUUCAAUUCCCUGUCCUUUGCUUUCCUGAUAAGGAUGAAUAGGAAGCUGAUCUAACACCUGGAAACCUAUGUUCUCUGAGUGGUGGGGGAGAGAGGGAAGGAGCAGGCUAUAUUGUUUUUUUAGGCUUUUCUGUGACCUGAUGCUUACUUUGUUAAAUGUGGCAGCUGCUUAGUAUUCUUCCUUUUUCCUUUUCUCCCAAUCAUAAAGUUGUAUUCUCCUUUAGAAUUGAAAAGUGCAUAUUUCCUUUGACAUCUUGGUAUUAAUUUAGCUGAGUUCUUAGUGUGAACAUUUUGUGUCACAAUUCCCUUGUUCUAGGAAAUGCAGUAUGUUGCUAUGCUUCCUAUAUUUCUGCCUCAAAUUGUCAUUAAAAUAAGCUUUUACUGGCGCGCCUGGGUGGCUCAGUCGGUUGAGCUACCGACUUCGGCUCAGGUCAUGAUCUCAUGGUUCAUGAGUUCAGGCCCUGCAUUAGGCUCUGUGCUGACAGCUCAGAGCCUGGGGCCUGUUUCGGAUUCUGUGUCUCCCUGUCUCUCUGCCCCUCCCCCGCUCAUGCUCUGUCUCUGUCUCAGAAAUGAAUAAAAUAAACAUUAAAUUUUUUUUAAAAAUAAGCUUUUAUUGUCAGUAGCUCUUACUGGAUUUCAUCUUCCUCAGAAGUUGAAUUAAGUCCUUUACUCAGUCCCUUCGUCUGUUCUACAUUGGUUAUCCUGUGAGGUCAGGAUCAGCAAUAGUUAGAGAACUGACUUCUCAAUUAUGUCUACUGCUUUUGUAGACAUAAUGUUACAGAUAAUAAAAGAACCAAAAAGGUAGUCUCAUUUGUAUCGUUCCUUCGUUAAAUAUUUGCUGGAGGCAUUGAUGUGUUCUGGGAGGUAGUUUUUAUUUUUUAGUUUCUUUUGGCUACCAACCUAAUUUACUAUCAUACAUAAUUAGCGUGGUAGAAGAAACUCUUAAUACAGCCUACACCCUAACAUUAAGCAAUUAUUUUUUUUCUACCCUCUACCCUCUGAGAUUAUUUUGGUUUCCAUGUUUUCUCUUGGGCUUAAAAAACUAUUAGUCUUGUUUCUUCUAUCAAGACUAUGCAUAUGGAGGGAAAUUGAUGCCCAGUAACUUAACAUUCCUUUCGGGGUCCUGGGAAUGUACUUGAUACAGAGUAUAAAAAUUACUCUGAACUCAAUUAACUUUAUGUCUUUGGGAAGCUCUGUAACAUCAAAUGAAACAUCAUUUUCAUUCUUGUAAUAUAGCUGCAGUUACUGACAGCACUUUUGGGAAAAAUAUACCAUAGGAUGGUAGUUUUUAAAUUACUGUAGAGCACUAGACAAUUUUUAAAAAACUACCACUGUAAGAAAUUCAAGUUUUCAGUUACCCUAAUACAUACAUAGGAGAGAAACAGUUUUUGUCUGUUUUGUACAUUUUUUAAACUUUUUUUUUUUUUAAAGAGAAAGAAUGUGUGGGGGAGGGGCAGAGAGAGGGAGAGAGAGAGAAUUUCAAGCAGGAUCCAUGCCCAGUGUGGAGCCCAACAUGAGGCUUGAUCUUACAACCCUGAGAUCGUGACCUGAGCUGAAAUCAAGAUGCUUAACUGACUGAGCCACCUAGGUAUCCCUGUUUUGUACAGUUUUUUUUUAAUCUUUGUGUUUUGCAACAAUAUGUGGCACAUAAGUACUCAAAUACUUCAUGAAAGAAAUAGUGAAUGGAACCUUAUUAGUUAUGAUGCACUCUGUUUUUCUGUACUUUUCAGUUCUCCUUUUUUUAAAAUUGUUUUUAAUGUUUAUUUUUGAAAGAGAGGGACAGAGUACAGGUGAGAGAGGGGCAGAGAGAGAGACAGACACACACACACACACACACACACACACACACACACACACACAGAAUCCGAAGUAGGAUCCAGGCUCUGAGCUGUCAGCACAGAGCCUGACACAGGGCUUGAACCCAGGAACCAUGAGAUCAUGACCUGAGCUGAAGUCGGAUGCUUAUCCAGUCAAGCCACCCAGGCGUCCCUCAGUUCUCUUUUUUUAUGCUAUGCAUAAAUCAGUUUACUAGAUUGAUAACAAAUUGGUUGUAACAGGCAUUUUGAAGGGUGGUGUAACUUCUUCAGCAGUUACGAAAAGGCUCUGCUUAGUUCUACACUUUAACUCUUGAAGCUCUUCAGUUAUCUGCUUUGCAUGUUGGUUUCCUUGAAAAAGAGGCUUUUAUGGCUGUGAAAAUUUUAGAGAUGUGUACUGGCAUAAAUCUUCCCAAUUGUAAUAAUCUGUGUAGAAAAUUUCAACAACUUGUAUCUAAGAUAGUGGUCAGCAAACAUUUUUUGUAAAGAGUCAAAUGGUAAAAUUUUAUGCACUGUGGGCCUAACUACUCUGUCUCAGUCAAAACAACUCAACAGAUUCAACAGUGGCAUUGUAGCACAAAAGCAGCUAAUAGACUCUGUAAGUGAAUUAGCCUGUGUUCCAAUAAAACUUACGGACAAUGGAAUUUGAAUUUCAUAUAAUUUUCAUGUGUCAUGAAAUAUUCUUAUAAGUUUUUUCAACAUUUAAAAAUGUAAAACUAUUCUUGUGGGCUGUAUUAAAAUAGAUGAUAGCCCAGAUUUAGUUCAUGGGCCAGAGUUUUCAGAUUACUGGUCUAGGGGAGACUGACUAUAUCAUAUUAAAAGUUCUGAAAUGAAGGUGUGGGUUAGAGGUCUAUAGAAAGUUGAUCAUUGCUUUUUGAAAAAAUGUCGGGUUUAUUGGGAUAUAGUUUACUAUACUUAAUGUACCAUUUUAACUAUAUAGUUUGAUGAGUUUUGACAAAUGUAUAUAGUCAUGUAACCACUGCCACAAUCAAGAUACUGAACGUUUCCAUCAUCUCAAAAAGUUCCCUAGUUCCUCUGUAUUUAGUCCCCUUCGCUGACCCUCAGUUCCUGGCAGACACUGGUCUGGUCUCUAGUCUUAUUUUCCCAGAAAGCUAUAUACUUUCCCGGAAAGUUAUAUAAAUGAAAUGAUAAAGUAUGUGGUUUUAUGUAUUUGGCUUCUAUGAUUUAGUUUGAUACAUCUGAGAUUCACCCAGGUUGUAUGUAUCAGCAAUUAGUUUUUGCUUAUUAUUUAGUAGUAGUCUAUUGUGUGGAUAUGCCACAACUUCUGCAUUUACCAGUUGAUGGGGUAGUAGGGUUGUUUUUGGUUUUCAGCAAUUGCAGUAAAGGUUGCCAUAAAUAUUUGGGUUCAGGUUUUUGUGUGGACGUGGGUUUUCAUUUUUCUUGAGUAAGGACCUAGAAGCAGGGUUGAUGGGUUGUAUGGUAAGUAUACAUUUAACUUUAUAAGAAACUACCAAUUCAAUUAAAAAAUGGGCAGAGGACAUGAACAGACAUAUCUCCAAAGAAGACAUCCAGAUGGCCAACAGACACAUGAAAAGAUGCUCAAUGUCACUCAUCAUCAGGGAAAUGCAAAUCGAAGCCAAUCA